GACGAACGCUGGCGGCGUGCUUAACACAUGCAAGUCGAACGGUGAAGGGACCAGCUUGCUGGUUCUGGAUGAGUGGCGAACGGGUGAGUAACACGUGAGUAACCUGCCCCCUUCUUCUGGAUAACCGCAUGAAAGUGUGGCUAAUACGGGAUAUUCUGGGUCUGUCGCAUGGCGGGCCCGGGAAAGAUAUUGCUUCGGUGGGGGAUGGGCUCGCGGCCUAUCAGCUUGUUGGUGGGGUGAUGGCCUACCAAGGCGGUGACGGGUAGCCGGCCUGAGAGGGUGGACGGUCACACUGGGACUGAGACACGGCCCAGACUCCUACGGGAGGCACCAGUGGGGAAUAUUGCACAAUGGGCGCAAGCCUGAUGCAGCGACGCCGCGUGAGGGAUGGAGGCCUUCGGGUUGUAAACCUCUUUCGCCAGUGAAGCAGGCCUGCUCCGUGUGGGUGGGUUGACGGUAGCUGGAUAAGAAGCGCCGGCUAACUACGUG
rnacentral:rRNA from 1 species